ACAUAAGCUAGUUGGUGAGGUAACGCCCCACCAAGGCUAUGAUGGGUAGGGGUUCUGAGAGGAUAUACCCCCACACUGGUACUGAGACACGGACCAGACUCCUACGGGAGGCAGCAGUAAGGAAUAUUGGUCAAUGGGCGGAAGCCUGAACCAGCCAUGCCGCGUGCAGGAAGACGGCCCUAUGGGUUGUAAACUGCUUUUGUCAGGGGAUAAACCUAUCUACGUGUAGAUAGCUGAAGGUACCUGAAGAAUAAGGAUCGGCUAACUCCGUGCCAGCAGCCGCGGUAAUACGGAGGAUCCGAGCGUUAUCCGGAUUUAUUGGGUUUAAAGGGUGCGCAGGCGGACUGGUAAGUCAGGGGUGAAAUUCUACGGCUCAACUGUAGGCGUGCCUUUGAUACUGCCGGACUAGAGUUAAGUUGGAGUGGGCGGAAUGUGUUGUGUAGCGGUGAAAUGCUUAGAUAUAACACAGAACACCGAUCGCGAAGGCAGCUCACUAAACUUAGACUGACGCUCAUGCACGAAAGCGUGGGGAUCAAACAGGAUUAGAUACCCUGGUAGUCCACGCUGUAAACGAUGAUCACUCGCUGUUGGCGAUAUACAGUCAGUGGCUAAGCGAAAGUGAUAA
rnacentral:rRNA from 1 species